AUAUAAUGAAUGCAUUGGGAAGGACUUAGUGAUUCAGGAAAAUUCAAAUUUUUUUCAAAUUUUUCAAAAAAAAAAAUUUCAGUCUGAUUCCCGAAUUUGAUGAAGUGUGGACUCAGUCCAAUGAAAUCACUGCUGGCAAUAAAUAAAUGUUAAGUGUUCCUAAAUAUGAUAUUUCAAAUACACAUGUAGCUAUCUAAGGCCAAUAGCAAACUAGUUGACCAAAUCGGGGCGACACGACAUAAAAAUGUACUUGAUUGGUUGCUAACUUGUUGCGAAAGAAUUGUUGCUUGUCGACGAUAUGUUUGCAAAUGAGGUGACGAAAUGGAAUAUUGAAACUUGUGAUGUACAAAAUGCUAUCCAAUCAGCAUCAACUACUUCAUUUCGAGUUUCAACGUUAAUCCAUUACUUCGAUUUUCCCGCACAUACUUGGUCUGAACUGCGCAUGUCUGUCGUCCAAAAUAUCCAACUUGCUGGAUACGACUUGUUGCCGGCCACGCCCCAUAAGAC
rnacentral:lncRNA from 1 species